rnacentral:rRNA from 1 species
CCUACGGGUGGCAGCAGUGGGGAAUAUUGCUCAAUGGGGGAAACCCUGAAGCAGCAACGCCGCGUGGAGGAUGAAGGUCUUCGGAUUGUAAACUCCUUUUAGUAGAGAAGAUAAUGACGGUAUCUAACGAAUAAGCACCGGCUAACUACGUGCCAGCAGCCGCGGUAAUACGGAGGGUGCAAGCGUUACUCGGAUUUACUGGGCGUAAAGAGCGCGUAGGCGGGAUAGCAAGUCAGAUGUGAAAUCCUGUGGCUUAACCGUAGAACUGCAUUUGAAACUGUUAUUCUUGAGUAUAGGAGAGGUAGGCGGAAUUCUUGGUGUAGGGGUAAAAUGCGUAGAGAUCAAGAGGAAUACGCAUUGCGAAGGCGACCUGCUAGACCAUAACUGACGCUGAUGCGCGAAAGCGUGGGGAGCAAACAGGAUUAGAUACCCGUGUAGUC